UACAGAGGUCUCAACCGUUGUUCGGAUUCAUUGGGCGUAAAGGGUGCGUAGGCGGUCGGGUAAGUCGGAUGUGAAGUCUCAGGGCUCAACCCUGAAACUGCAUUCGAUACUGCCUGGCUAGGGUACUGGAGAGGAGACUGGAAUUUACGGUGCAGCAGUGAAAUGCGUAGAUAUCGUAAGGAAGACCAGUGGCGAAGGCGAGUCUCUGGACAGUUACCGACGCUGAGGCACGAAGGCCAGGGGAGCAAACAGG
rnacentral:rRNA from 1 species